rnacentral:rRNA from 1 species
CCUACGGGUGGCAGCAGUGGGGAAUAUUGGACAAUGGGCGAAAGCCUGAUGCAGCCACGCCGCGUGAACGAUGACGGCCCUCGGGUCGUUAAGCUCCGUUUUCAAGGAAGUUAAUGACGGUACUUGAGGAGGCAGCACCGGCUAACUAGGUGCAAGCAGCCGCGGUAAUGCGUAGGGGGCUAGCGUUAUCCGGAUUUACUGGGCGUAAGGGGUGCGUAGGUGGUUUAUUAGGUCAGAGGUGAAAGGCUACGGCUCAACCGUAGUAAGCCUUUGAUACUGGUGAACUUGAGUGCAGUAGAGGUAGGUGGAAUUCCUAGUGUAGCGGUGAAAUGCUUAGAGAUUAGGAGGAACACCAGUUGCGAAGGCAGCUCUCUGGACUGUAACUGACACUGAGGCACGAAAGCGUGGGUAGCAAACAGGAUUAGAUACCCGGGUAGUC